UACGAAGGGGGCUAGCGUUGCUCGGAAUCACUGGGCGUAAAGGGCGCGUAGGCGGCCGAUUAAGUCGGGGGUGAAAGCCUGUGGCUCAACCACAGAAUUGCCUUCGAUACUGGUUGGCUUGAGACCGGAAGAGGACAGCGGAACUGCGAGUGUAGAGGUGAAAUUCGUAGAUAUUCGCAAGAACACCAGUGGCGAAGGCGGCUGUCUGGUCCGGUUCUGACGCUGAGGCGCGAAAGCGUGGGGAGCAAACAGGG
rnacentral:rRNA from 1 species